CACACUCUUCUUCUUCGAUGCCGUUAACACAUUCCCCGCCGCAGACCAAGCUGGGGAAGAGGGAAGGGGGAAGAUAAAGAGGGAUCCCAGGGUUGGGCAAUCGCGCGGAGGCUCGCGUUUCCGCGGUGGCCGCCGGCAAAGCAUAUGGACUUGGGCUUGAGCAAGACGGAGUCUACCUCACGGCGACGGCGACCGGGCUACCGAAGCUGCCUCGCGCACACCCUCGAUGUGCUCCAUUUCCUCGAGCACCUUCACUCAUCCUCUGGGGUGGACCCAUUGAUGUCAGAGCUCAGCUCCUGUGGACUGAUGGAUCUUACAAGGGAUCCAAUUUGAAGUGAAGAGGAUCCUACCGUCUAGAUAAAGGAAUAUUAGGACAUUUGCGAGGUUGACAGAAACACUGUCAGGACCAAGAUGACAGAUUCCUGAAGAAGAGCUUUUUUAUUCCAACAAGGCUGAAGGUUAGUUUCUUUCCAGAAAAAUAAUAUGAUCAAAAUUUAAUUCAGGUUUCUGAUAUGAUUAGCAUAUUUCAUUUGUGGUAGACAUUGCCUGUACUUCAUCUGCAAUAGCUGACUAGAUUACCGGUGGAAUCUCAUUUUCAUAGUUCAUCACUGUUGGAACUUCAUUGUCAUCCGAUGCAUAAUAUCUUAUGCCCUACUAGCUGAUCCAGCAACCAAUCCCUGAAACGAAAUUCGAUAUCCACGAUUGCACUGGCUUGGAGUAGACAUACAACUCAGGGUUUGGUGUCAAGUCUCCCAUCUACCAGAUCAACUGGUAUUAUUGAUCAUAAAUGCCAUGUAUGUAGCCUUUCAAGGAUUACAGCUAGAUCUCGUGGUGACCAUAUUAUUUUAGGUGAAGGUCCUUGUUUUGACGAGAAAAGAAAAAAAGGUAUUGUGGUUGGUGUG